AAAUUGAAGAGUUUGAUCAUGGCUCAGAUUGAACGCUGGCGGCAGGCCUAACACAUGCAAGUCGAACGGUAACAGAAAGCAGCUUGCUGCUUUGCUGACGAGUGGCGGACGGGUGAGUAAUGUCUGGGAAACUGCCCGAUGGAGGGGGAUAACUACUGGAAACGGUAGCUAAUACCGCAUAACGUCGCAAGACCAAAGAGGGGGACCUUCGGGCCUCUUGCCAUCGGAUGUGCCCAGAUGGGAUUAGCUAGUAGGUGGGGUAACGGCUCACCUAGGCGACGAUCCCUAGCUGGUCUGAGAGGAUGACCAGCCACACUGGAACUGAGACACGGUCCAGACUCCUACGGGAGGCAGCAGUGGGGAAUAUUGCACAAUGGGCGCAAGCCUGAUGCAGCCAUGCCGCGUGUAUGAAGAAGGCCUUCGGGUUGUAAAGUACUUUCAGCGGGGAGGAAGGGAGUAAAGUUAAUACCUUU
rnacentral:rRNA from 1 species